CACUUUUUUUUUCCUAUUAUGGACUGAAAAAUUGUUUAAACAAUUAGUUUUUACUAAAGUUAGAGUUUUAAUCACUAGUGGUGACUUUUAUCUAAAAAACGAGUCUAAGUUGAGCUUUAUAUUCGCAAUCGUGAUUACCGACUGAAAAAAGUGGUUUCGAGAAAACACGCUUUAAAGUUUUUGGAUCCAACCUGAAGUGGCAACGCGCAAGAUGGGUCCUGGCAAGAUAAGGCCAAAACUAUUCGUAGUACGACUUUCCAACUUUGGGAUUUUGAAUAAUAAUAAUAUUCUUGAAUAAUUUAGCUAUCAAAUUAAAGAAUAAAACAAAAAUCGAUUUUUUUAAAGUUUUCCGUUUUCUGAGGUUCUGGGGUUCUGAGAAAAAUUGCUGGCGAAAGCACUGGAACGACACUAUCCCAAAUAGUAAACAGCAUUGCAUCAACAUCUAAUAACACGGGCUCAUUGCAAAAUUCAACUCACACUUACCCAUUGCUUACAACAAGUAGUAAAACUAACGUGACCUUCACGAUUACUCAAGCUACAACAACUUACACCGUUGCGGCUACAGCAGACAUGAAACGUAAAUGAGUUGUUCAGGCAUCCGAAGUUACCUGUAAGGCUAGACAUCAUAUUACUAAUCUCUCUUACUAAUCAGAUGACUCUAAAAUCAGUGGAAAACAGUCGUCAAAUGUGCACUCCAAGCCUCCAGCUAUAUGUGUCCUAGAUAUUAACAAUAUCCACGCUUUCGAACAGUGCACCGCGGUGGUGAGAAUAACUAUAGUAAUAGCACCUCUAGAUUUUAUGUAUCACGGGUAUACACAGCCAAUUCUGAUGCUUUUCGUGCUGUUGUGAGGCAUUUAUCAAUGAUAAAUAGUUUUGGCAUCAUAAGCUUAUGGCUAAGCUAACGGACGCAAGCGUGCCCAAGGUUCAAAUUGUAACUUAUUUUGUUGACCUUGGUUUUGAAGUCCUUAAUAUACAUUGCUCGAGGAAAGCGUAUUGGCAAAACGAACAGAUCUCUGAAAAAGACGACGUAGCGACAAUCAAUUACAUAACCUUUUUUUUAAACUAAAAAACAAGGACCUAAUGUCGACAAAGUACUGAAAAUAACUCAACUAGGCAGACAUCGAGUCAUUGUAGAGUGUGAGCGUCGCAGAAAAAAAGUAUUUCAAUGUUUGAGAUGCCACAUAUCUCCAAGAACUAUUAUCUUCAGAAUCCAAUUUGUGGUAAAUGUGGUAAAUUUAUUGUGCAUUAAUUGUGGUGAUGAUCAUGCAUUAACUGACAAAGUCUACCCAGUGAGGAUCGAAAAAUUAGGAAAAAUAAAACUAAAGGGCCUAGACCCUUUACUUCAACCUUAAAUGGCAACACUGCUAAGCCAAAAAAUAUAAAUUCAAUAAAAUAUAAAUUCGGCUUCAGUCCCUAUGUUGCAUUAAGUGGCGAUAUGUAAUACGCCGACAUAGAUCGUUCUAAUGGGGUUCAACUUGGCUCAAAUAUGGCUAAGAAAUCUCAGAGAGGAUCAGAAUCAGUGCAAGACCUUGGCUUUGGGAAAAAUUUCUGCCACUGGAAACCGGCUGGAUAUUAACGCUAGAAUGAACAAAAUGUUUAAAUUGAUUGAGGAGACUGUAGAGUUUAACAAAGCAUUUUAAGAAGUGGUCAUGCUUCUUUUUUUCUCGGAUUCCAAAAUGACUGAUACAAUCAUAAAAAUCGGAUUGUGGAACGAGUCUUCCUAAAUGUGGACAAUAUAGAUAUCAUGUUUGUCACCGAGUCACACAUACGUGAAGCAGAGCUCAUCUAUUUACUAGGAUACAUUUCUUACCACGUCUACCAUCCCAGUGGCAAUGGCAUAGGAGGUGCCACAAUCAUUGUGCGUUCGUCCUUGUGCCACUGUCCCCAGCCUCACAUCUUAACGAAUGACCGACAAAUAGCGAUAGUUCAGCUGCAGACAUCGAUGCUCGGGGCUAGAGGCAGAUUGUUGCAGGAAGUCGUUGCAAAUGGCCAAUACCAAAUUUUAGCCAACUUUUUACUCUUCGUUACACCCUCUGUUAAUACCAUCUUCACUGGACUGCUUCAUAACAACAGUUAUGACAUGAGUAGGUUUAAUAUCAGAACGCUUCAUGAGCUCCCGUCGGAUCACACUAAACUUUUGGCAGAUUUGCACGCUAGGCCGCUGAACAAGAUACAACGCACACGCUUACUCGCUCGUGGAGCUUAUGUAAUGCAUACGGUACAGCAAGAAAUCUACAAAACUUACAAGUUUCCCACCAGACUCGGCUUCCCUACAUAAUAGGUAAUCUACUUCGACUACAGCGAAAGGUCAGGAAAGAAUAUGCGAGAUAAGGAGAUGCCAGAAUCCAGUAAAUUUACCAGAGACUUGCAAAUCGCCUCCAUAAGGCACUGGCAAUAGAAGACAGCAUCAAAUAGGUGAGGUAUUGGAAAACCUGGGCACAUAUGCUACAAUAAACUACUCUCUUUGGAAAAUAACAGAAAAAUACAAGUAUCACCCUAAUCAAAACUCAGCUAUAAGGGUCUCGACAGGAGGCUUGCGAGAUACCAGAUGUAAUCGAAACGUUGUUAUAAUUGCAGCACAUGCUGACGACAUUGCACUACAAAUGUACUGUGUACAUUUUUGAACCGGAUAAAAAUCUGGUCUGGUGUCUUAAUUAGACCAAUACCCAUUAUAAAUACCUUGGUGUUGCAGAUCCCCGCACAAGAACACGAAGAAGACUCAAACAUCAUUACCCUCAAGAUCUGCCGGAUCGGGUUUUGACUUAACAUGUAUGAACAAAGUUCCAAUUGAUGUUAUUCAUGCUAUCUAAAGCCCCAACCCAAUAUAAAUCUAUAUAAAUAUGUAAAUAGUAAAAAUAAUUUUAUAAGAAAAAUGUCUCAUUACAUGUAAAGAUAAAAAAAAAAAUACAUAGCACAGACAUAUACAUAGUAAAUCUAAUAUCAUACACAACAGACAUGCUUAGAUCUAUUUUAGUUUAUGUCAGGUUGUAUGGCUCUCUUUUAUUUAUUAAUCAUUACUGAAAAUCCUGGGAGAGGUUUCUCAAGUAAAAACUAUUAAAAUGCGACUCAGAUCUAGCAGCCUAGCUCAGAUUUUCCAAUUUAAAGUCAUCGGUUGCAAUUGGACUUUAAAUUUAUUGCGCUGGCUUCUCGGUUCUAUGCUUACGAAACGACUGCUCGCACGAGCCAAAUUUUUCUCUGAGCAUAAAGCUUCUCAGUAGAAGAGUAAUCCAUUGAUAGCCUAGAAAUUAAGCUCGUAAGUAAGCUACUAUGCUUUGUUUCUUAUUUCUUAUCUUAGUUUACAGAUUUCAACAAGUAUUUUAUUUUAACUUAAACAAAUGCUCCAACAUUCCGGCCCCGUUUAAGACCUCCAGCACUUUAACCUUUUGGUCGCUGGUAAUUGGCAACAACGCAAGUUGCGCUCUACCGUCCUUGCCGAGCGUUAUUGCCACCACGCGUCCUGUAAGCCUCCGUUGCGAGCUCCAGAUUGUGGAGUUAUGUGCUCCAUUUGUGGCGCCAGAUAAUCCUGCUGCUUGAGAGCGGACAGCAUUCGGCACCGCUUCAAGUACCCGAAGCCGCCCUUGCUGGAGAUUCCUCCAGAUUCGGAUUCUGGCCGAUCUGCAGGUGUCCGGGUGUCAGAGCCUCUCCAUCGUUGGGGACGUUGCCAGGCGACGCGAUGGGACGAGAAUUAAGCAGAGCCUCUACCUCUACCAGCAACCGCGUUUCCUCUCAGUUGAUCCUGAUUGCGGUAAAACGCUACGUGCAGGUCUUCGGGGACCUUGCUCGAUCCAACGAAGAUGAUGGCGUUGUCGCUGUAGACCUUCUGCGGCAAACAUCUCCUUCCGACAAGGCUUUUAAAAACAGAUAGAAAGCUGUCAGUAGAUAGAUCGACGACGAGCUCAAGAUGAACCGCCUUUGAUCAAAAACACUCGAAAAUAGGUCUUACUGGAGGGCUUUCCGAGAAGCUUCAACAAGACAUAAAAUGGACCUCAGAAAUCAGCUCCACAGACCAAAAAUGGGCGAGCUUUCUUGACCCGAACGGCGGACAAAUUACCCAUUAUCUGAUCAAGCAGAAUAGGUUUAUACAGAAAACAGUGGACACAGCCACGGACAUUCUUUGUGCAUGCUUCUCCAAUAUGGAUUAGCCAGAUCUACUGCCUCAAAAGCGACACCAUCACUUUGGCACCUUCAUGAUAAUGCUUCCGAUGUAAGUUCCGAUGAAACAACGCAACAAAUUCUGACUUUUGGAACCGCAAUAGGGGAAAUUUGGCAUCAUACGAAAUUGGCGCAUUAAACAAUCUGCCUCCAACACGAAUCAAGCGAAAUGUCACACCCUCUACCUCGCUGGUGUGCACGAAGGGACUUAAACGUUGAAGAUUUGCAGAUAACCCUUCACAUUUCUCUAACUUUAUGUAUUCUGAACCAAACUCCAAUCUUUAAAUUACUUGGGCUAGAUUAAAAAAAAGAUACCUUUAGUUCCUUUGCCGAAAUAACCACCUCACGCAGACAUUUCUUCCCCUGAAUUAACCAAUGUACGUAUGCCACGAUCCGAAGUAGUUUAUUAAACGACAAACAUCUUCCAAUAA